AGUGGCGGACGGGUGAGUAAUACUUAGGGAUCUGCCUCUGUGUGGGGGAUAACUAUUGGAAACGAUAGCUAAUACCGCAUAAUGUCUACGGACCAAAGCGGGCUUCGGCUCGUGCGCAGAGAGGAACCUAAGCGAGAUUAGCUAGUUGGUGAGGUAAAGGCUCACCAAGGCGACGAUCUCUAGCUGUUCUGAGAGGAAGAUCAGCCACACUGGAACUGAGACACGGUCCAGACUCCUACGGGAGGCAGCAGUGGGGAAUAUUGCACAAUGGGGGAAACCCUGAUGCAGCCAUGCCGCGUGUGUGAAGAAGGCCUUCGGGUUGUAAAGCACUUUCAGUUGUGAGGAAAGUUUAGUAGUUAAUACCUGCUAGAUGUGACGUUAGCAACAGAAGAAGCACCGGCUAACUCCGUGCCAGCAGCCGCGGUAAUACGGAGGGUGCGAGCGUUAAUCGGAAUUACUGGGCGUAAAGCGCACGCAGGCGGUCUGUUAAGCUAGAUGUGAAAGCCCCGCGCUCAACGUGGGAGGGUCAUUUAGAACUGGCAGACUAGAGUCUUGGAGAGGGGAGUGGAAUUCCAGGUGUAGCGGUGAAAUGCGUAGAGAUCUGGAGGAACAUCAAUGGCGAAGGCAACUCCCUGGCCAAAGGCUGACGCUCAUGUGCGAAAGUGUGGGUAGCGAACAGGAUUAGAUACCCUGGUAGUCCGCACCGUANACGCUGUCUACUAGCUGUUUGUGAAUUUAAUUCGUGAGUAGCGAAGCUAACGCGAUAAGUAGACCGCCUGGGGAGUAC
rnacentral:rRNA from 1 species